rnacentral:lncRNA from 1 species
ACAAUUCUAACUGCUGCCUAACACAUUAAAACUACUACAACUGCCGCCAGACAACACUCAAAACAAGCAAAAAAAUUCUUUACCCAAAACAUCUCCGAAUAGAGCAUAAUAUAAUUGAAAAAUUUCUGAGAGGAAGAAUCAAGUUUGUGCGCAGCAAGUUGAGGACCAAUUCAACCAACCUACUUUUGCCUUCAAUUCCAAC